rnacentral:rRNA from 1 species
AACGAACGCUGGCGGCAGGCUUAACACAUGCAAGUCGAGCGCCCCGCAAGGGGAGCGGCAGACGGGUGAGUAACGCGUGGGAAUCUACCCAUCUCUACGGAAUAACGCAUGGAAACGUGUGCUAAUACCGUAUACGUCCUUCGGGAGAAAGAUUUAUCGGAGAUGGAUGAGCCCGCGUUGGAUUAGCUAGUUGGUGGGGUAAAGGCCUACCAAGGCGACGAUCCAUAGCUGGUCUGAAAGGAUGAUCAGCCACACUGGGACUGAGACACGGCCCAGACUCCUACGGGAGGCAGCAGUGGGGAAUAUUGGACAAUGGGCGCAAGCCUGAUCCAGCCAUGCCGCGCGAGUGAUGAAGGCCCUAGGGUUGUAAAGCUCUUUCACCGGUGAAGAUAAUGACGGUAACCGGAGAAGAAGCCCCGGCUAACUUCGUGCCAGCCGCCGCCGUAAAAC